UCCAAUGCCUCCUUCUUCUCUCGUUCCAUCUUCAACUGAGCAUUCAUCUUCUCUUGUUCUAAUCUAUACGAUUUGUAAGUUUGUAGUAAUUCUUGUUUUUGAUUUUCUAGGAUAUGCUGAAUCCUCUGUUUGUCUUUUGACCAGUUUUCCACUCUUUCAUUCAAUUCACGCUUCACUCGCAUCUUGGAUUCUAAUUCUACCUUGAUGACUUGUUCCUAUUCCUUGAUUUUGUAAUUUUGUUCCAAUAUUAUUUUCUUGCUCGCUUCUACUUACAUUUUUAAC
rnacentral:lncRNA from 1 species